UAAAUUAACAAUUAUUUGUCGCAAGAAACAAGUUAAGAAUUAAAAAUUAAAAACUAAUUGGAUCCCAGCUCAAUAUUUAAUCUAAAUCUUCAGCCCAAACAAUCUCCAAGGAUUUAACAACAGCAAUCCAAAUAGAAAUAUGAUUCCAUCAACAUAGCCGAAAAUUUUCGAAUUUGAUCAAUCCAUGAAAAAUAGACCCACAUAUGCAAGCACAUUACUAGCUUGUGCCUCAAUUUAAAUUGUGAAUCGUCUUUAUACCCACCACAAUUGUUUUAUUUACUUUGCUAUAGUUGCCAAAUUCCCAAUUAAUUACCAAUGUCAUUAAUAUUUUGUUGUCUAGAAAAUUCAUAUUGAUGGUGGCCCACAUGUUGAGCCUCAAAAUGCAAUUUUUGAACCCAGCCAACAACUUACAAAGUGUAACAUGCAAGCAAGAGAAAUAAAAUACAAGAGGCUUUCACAAAGCCUACAAACCAUAUUUCUAUUAUAGGCUGGUUACAAGCUGUCAAUAAAAAGUACGUGAGCUAAUGAAUAAAGCGUGACUACUAAUAGAAUUAAUUAUUAUAGAGCAAUUAUAGAGCCGCCAUCUAUCAUUAUCUUAAAAUGUCAAACCUUGGAGGGAAAUAUAUAAAUACCCCCUCAUUUGAAGAGCAUGCAAUUCAAAUAUCCCACUCUCAAAUAACAAUUUCUCUUAUUGCCUUAUUUUGAGCAUCAAAACUAGGGAGUUUAGGAAGUAAUAAUCAUAGAUAGGUGAGUAGGAUUUGUUGAUCAGAUUUCUAUUGUUAACAAAUUGGCAUUAUUUGUGAAAAAACUUGCAUAAAGUAGACCACGAAAUCUUAUUAUAUCUGAAAGUUAAAACUCUUGAUAUCUGAAAUUGUGAGUCAAAUUGAGGAGAAAUCAGAGAAAAUAAAAAUGUUAAAAGUGGAAGACAAUGGUUAUAUUGACUUUCCACUGGUUAUGACACUAAUAUUAAUAGACAGAAGGAAAAAAACUCCUGCGAAAGUGCAAGUUGGCGUCUCUCUUGCAAAGAGCUAUCUCUUGCAUAAGAAAAUCGCUACUGCCAAAACCAUUAAGGAUAUGGCUGAGUUUGAAAGCGCUUACUGCAGAGAAUGCUUCUCUAUGGGUGAAGAAAGAGAAUAAAGUGCAGGAUAAAAUUGAAGAAAAUGAAAAUAUUCCAGCUAACAGUGCAUUCCGUAAUGAUAACAGCAGCAUGCAGGCAUAAAAAACCUAGGAAAAUACACCCAAAAAUCAAUGCAAAUGAUAGAGCAGAAACAAGCCUGCCAAGGAAAGGUUUCCAAAGGAGGUUAUCUCACAGGAUAAUAUGAAUAGUCGUUCAAAAGGUUGGAGGUUGAAAGUCUAUUCAAUCUUAGAGCACUUCUCUGGACGAGGUAUAUAAAGGUCGACCUAUAAGGUUGUAGAAACGAAAGACGAUGAUGAACAUCUACCAUUCUCAAGAGAGAUCAAGGAGAGAGCAAUCCCGAGAAAAUUUAAAUCGUUCGGUCAUGGAUAAGUACCUUGACAAAGAAGAUCAUAUGUUCCAUUUGUGUGAGUGCAUGACACAAAUACGACUAGAUAAAGUUAGUCCUGUACUUAAGGUUUCCAUCUUGCUUCGUA
rnacentral:lncRNA from 1 species